UGGUUCAGGACGAACGCUGGCGGCGUGCUUAACACAUGCAAGUCGAACGGAAAGGCCCCUUCGGGGGUACUCGAGUGGCGAACGGGUGAGUAACACGUGGGCAAUCUGCCCUGCACUUCGGGAUAAGCCUGGGAAACUGGGUCUAAUACCGGAUAGGACCUUUAGACGCAUGUCUUUUGGUGGAAAGCUUUUGCGGUGUGGGAUGGGCCCGCGGCCUAUCAGCUUGUUGGUGGGGUGAUGGCCUACCAAGGCGACGACGGGUAGCCGGCCUGAGAGGGUGUCCGGCCACACUGGGACUGAGAUACGGCCCAGACUCCUACGGGAGGCAGCAGUGGGGAAUAUUGCACAAUGGGCGCAAGCCUGAUGCAGCGACGCCGCGUGGGGGAUGACGGCCUUCGGGUUGUAAACCUCUUUCACCAUCGACGAAGGUUCGGGUUUUCUCGGAUUGACGGUAGGUGGAGAAGAAGCACCGGCCAACUACGUGCCAGCAGCCGCGGUAAUACGUAGGGUGCGAGCGUUGUCCGGAAUUACUGGGCGUAAAGAGCUCGUAGGUGGUUUGUCGCGUUGUUCGUGAAAUCUCACGGCUUAACUGUGAGCGUGCGGGCGAUACGGGCAGACUAGAGUACUGCAGGGGAGACUGGAAUUCCUGGUGUAGCGGUGGAAUGCGCAGAUAUCAGGAGGAACACCGGUGGCGAAGGCGGGUCUCUGGGCAGUAACUGACGCUGAGGAGCGAAAGCGUGGGGAGCGAACAGGAUUAGAUACCCUGGUAGUCCACGCCGUAAACGGUGGGUACUAGGUGUGGGUUUCCUUCCUUGGGAUCCGUGCCGUAGCUAACGCAUUAAGUACCCCGCCUGGGGAGUACGGCCGCAAGGCUAAAACUCAAAGGAAUUGACGGGGGCCCGCACAAGCGGCGGAGCAUGUGGAUUAAUUCGAUGCAACGCGAAGAACCUUACCUGGGUUUGACAUGCACAGGACGCGUCUAGAGAUAGGCGUUCCCUUGUGGCCUGUGUGCAGGUGGUGCAUGGCUGUCGUCAGCUCGUGUCGUGAGAUGUUGGGUUAAGUCCCGCAACGAGCGCAACCCUUGUCUCAUGUUGCCAGCGGGUAAUGCCGGGGACUCGUGAGAGACUGCCGGGGUCAACUCGGAGGAAGGUGGGGAUGACGUCAAGUCAUCAUGCCCCUUAUGUCCAGGGCUUCACACAUGCUACAAUGGCCGGUACAAAGGGCUGCGAUGCCGCAAGGUUAAGCGAAUCCUUUUAAAGCCGGUCUCAGUUCGGAUUGGGGUCUGCAACUCGACCCCAUGAAGUCGGAGUCGCUAGUAAUCGCAGAUCAGCAACGCUGCGGUGAAUACGUUCCCGGGCCUUGUACACACCGCCCGUCACGUCAUGAAAGUCGGUAACACCCGAAGCCAGUGGCCUAACCCUUGGGAGGGAGCUGUCGAAGGUGGGAUCGGCGAUUGGGACGAAGUCGUAACAA
rnacentral:rRNA from 1 species